CGAUCAAGGUUGUCAAAAGAAGUAGUUAAUACAAACUUACGACAUUUGCAACUGUCGUUAUUGCAUUUAGCACUGUGCACUUCAAUUUACACGAUAUUCAUUACUUAGCUAUUUCUAUUAAAAGAUACUCGGGCAAAAAUUAGGGAAAUAUGGCUUGUAGAUACUUUACACAAAAAAUAAGCUCUGCGCCCCUGGUGGAACGAUAAAUAUAAUCAGCAUUAUUGUAAUUUAUCGGUUAAGGCAAGAAGCGACUAGAAAGUUGAUCAUUCUGCCAAUUGGAGUUCGCAAUAUCGUAGACUGAAAUUUAGCCACCUGUACUGGAGUUCCAACAUAGGAGAUGGAUAUUUCACCAAACCCAACAACUCUCAGUGGGGCCCAGUGAUAAUAAUACCUCUUCUAGCGACAAUUAUUUUGGCCGCGAGCGUAUUCCUGCUGGUCAUUUUUAGGCAAAACCCCACCUUCGUCAUCACCACGAUAGCAGGAUGUCUGAUAUUUAUAACUAUAUACCUCACCAUAUGUGCCAUGGAGACGACAAAAGAAGUUUUGGAAUAAUGUAGAGCGUAUUAUAGAUUUAU